UGGGGAAUAUUGCGCAAUGGGGGGAACCCUGACGCAGCCAUGCCGCGUGAAUGAAGAAGGCCUUCGGGUUGUAAAGUUCUUUCGGUAUUGAGGAAGGUUGAUGUGUUAAUAGCACAUCAAAUUGACGUUAAAUACAGAAGAAGCACCGGCUAACUCCGUGCCAGCAGCCGCGGUAAUACGGAGGGUGCGAGCGUUAAUCGGAAUAACUGGGCGUAAAGGGCACGCAGGCGGUUAUUUAAGUGAGGUGUGAAAGCCCCGGGCUUAACCUGGGAAUUGCAUUUCAGACUGGGUAACUAGAGUACUUUAGGGAGGGGUAGAAUUCCACGUGUAGCGGUGAAAUGCGUAGAGAUGUGGAGAAAUACCGAAGGCGAAGGCAGCCCCUUGGGAAUGUACUGACGCUCAUGUGCGAAAGCGUGGGGAGCAAACAGGAUUAGAUACCCUGGUAGUCCACGCUGUAAACGCUGUCGAUUUGGGGGUUGGGGUUUAACUCUGGCGCCCGUAGCUAACGUGAUAAAUCGACCGCCUGGGGAGUACGGCCGCAAGGUUAA
rnacentral:rRNA from 1 species